AAAACUAUGCAGAACAACUUUAGAAAGGAGGAAGGCAAUACCAAGAGAGGGAGGAAGAGAGAGAAGAGAGAAGAAGAGAAAGCGAAAGAGAGAGAAGAGAGAAGAAGAGGGAACAGAGAGGAGAGAGCCAUCAUCGCGCCAUCAUCGGCGCCAUCAUCAACUGAUCUGUGUGUGUAUACAUAGAUCUAUGUAUUUCUCUUUCUCUGUGUGCGUGUGUGUAUAGAUCUAUCUCUCUCUCUAUGUUCUGAGUUAUCUGAAAAGAAAAAAAGAAAAAAAAAAGAGAAGAGGAUGUGGUGUUGUUUGU